UACGGAGGGUGCGAGCGUUGUUCGGAAUCACUGGGCGUAAAGGGCGUGUAGGCGGUCUGCUAAGUCUGAUGUGAAAGCCCGGGGCUCACCCCCGGAAGGGCAUUGGAAACUGGCGGACUCGAGUCCCGGAGAGGAGAGUGGAAUUCCUGGUGUAGCGGUGAAAUGCGUAGAUAUCAGGAGGAACACCGGUGGCGAAGGCGGCUCUCUGGACGGUGACUGACGCUGAGACGCGAAAGCGUGGGGAGUAAACAGG
rnacentral:rRNA from 1 species